rnacentral:misc_RNA from 1 species
GUGAAUCAUCAAAUCUUUGAACGCAUAUUGCACUCUCUGGUAUUCCGGAGAGUACGCCUGUUUGAGGGUCAUUAUAAAGAAUCUUUAGCCAUUUUUUUUUGUUCAAAGGAUAUGGGUUCUCCGCGUUUAUAGCGUUAUCUUGAAAUAAAUGGUAGUCUCAUUCUAUUCUAGGCGCUUUAUAAUAUUAUUUCGCUUUUUCUUUUUUAUGUGACUAUCAAGUUUUGAUGCAUACAAAUUUGGUUUGUAUGCGAUUAAUACAACUAUUUUGAACUUUACCUCUAAUCAGGUAU